rnacentral:pre_miRNA from 1 species
UUAGUACUCCCUUCGUCUCAAAAUUCUUGUCUUAAAUUUUUCUAGAUACAGAUGUAUCUAAUACUAAAAUAUGACUUGAUACAUCCGUAUUUAGACAAAUCUAAGACAAGAAUUUUGGGAUGGAGGAAGUAUUAU